GUGUUAUGAGGAUGUCGUAUUUUACAUGUCGUCCGCAGAGCUGAAGAUGCAAGUGGGAAAAAAUAGUCCUGAACAUGUAACAAGAGUCUACAAGCCGAUUCAUAUGAUGAUCCUAACUAAAGAAAAGUAUCUGUUCUGGUCACAGAAGAGCCAUUCAGGCGAUCCCGUGCUAUACAAACUGGAAUAUGGAAACACAAAGAACAAGCCCCCUACCACGAUCGUGAAAACUGACAGAUAUGUUUCACACAUUAAGUACAUCUAUCCCAGAGGCCACCAUGCAUAUCUGUGCGAUCCCUCGCCGAAACUGAAGAUUUUGAAAAGAACGCAAGUCGUAUGUUACUCAUUGAAAGACUUCAAAGAGCCAUGCGUUGAUAUUGAAAAAUUCGAA